AUUGAGCAAGGAACAGCAAUACAGGGGGAGGUGGAAGACAGGAAACUUCAGAGAGUUUAUGCCUGCCAGUGAGGAACACCUGAUCCAGAAAUCAGGCUCUGGCGCUGUGCAGAGCAGGGAAAGUAUGCUUGAAUUGAUACCUAAGACCUGGCUGAUACAUACCUCAUAGUUAAUCUGGUUAUGCGGGGUUUAUUUCACAGUCGGAAGUUCUUGCGCUGGAAGGGAGUCCUGCUGGGGUUUUCUGAGCACACGAAUGAAUUAAUGAAUGAACCAAUGCAGCUUGCCAGCCCAAAUUUAAACUGCUUGCUAGAUCAAAAUCUGCUCAUUUUGCCUUUUGCCUGUCUUUUUUUUUUUUUUUUUUUUUUUUUUUCCCCACCCACUCCGUCUUUUAUUUAUUAAUUAUUUGAGAAAACAGAUAAAGAGCACGGAAAGUCCCUGCGGGCAUCAUCAAGACAGCAAACGCAGAUAGAUGGCUGUUUUUCCACGCUGGCCUGAAUCCUGAAACCUAGACUUUGAGCCACGGUCCUGGGUGGGGAGGUCCCCGGCAGAGGCUGGUGGGUGGCCGGUGCCGGCCGUGGGCCGGGGGGGGGGCGAGGAGCCGCCACCGACAACCCUUGUCUGCAGGUCUUCCAGUGGGUCUUCCUUCAGUGCCCAGGAGGGCAUUAAAACAGGGAACCCCCGCUUUGAACAGACAAGAAAAAAUAAACCCGGGCUGCUUUUCAGGGAGGGUCGCGUCGCUUCUGUCUUUCAGAUCCACGCUGCCUUUGGUAUUAGCCCGUUGUCAGACUUUAAUGGGCACUUGCAAACAGGAUCUCUGGAAUAUUUUGAUUUAUUUGGCCACUGGGCAGACCUCCAGCCUGCCGUCUUGGCCGCCGCGUUUGUAUUUCAAUAGGAGUUUUAAGAAGGCUCGGCUAAGGGUAUUUAAGGUAGUCCCUGAGCUUUCAUGCAGGCUUUCUCAGCCCCGAGUGAAAACACAGCAGCGAAGAGAUGCGGCGGCGGGUUUUUAAGAAGCGGGGACGCUGUGACGUGCCAGCACCGAUGACCCCCCCCCCCCCCGCCCCCCGAAGCCCCCCUCCGAUCACCGAGCUCCUCUCGCACCGUCGCGGCUCCAUUUCGCGUCGCGGCGUCCGGGCUCCUUAACGCGGGGCCGGGCCGGGCCGGGCCGGGCUGCCGGCAGCGCUCGGCGGCCGGGGCCGGGCUCCGGGGGGAAGGACGGACGGCUGCUCACCCCCAUCGCGCUCCCCAGCAAGGCCAGACGUCUCUCCCGUCACCCCUUCCCCUCUCCCCGCCGCUCCCCCCCCGGCACUGGGGUGCGCUGCCAGGAGGUAACGCGUGGGUGCUGGGGAGCUGGCGGCGGCGAGACCCGGACCCCCGAGCAGAGGGGAUGGGAGGCAAAUGUCGCUCGUUCAAGGCGAAGAGCAGUGGUGGCGUGAAGGAAAAGCAGCCUGUGCUCUGCGCCGAAGCCUGGAGACCUUCCCGAAGAUUCACUGCCGUUCCGUUUUUGUUUUUUUUUGUUUUUUUUUUUUUUUUAUGGCGUCUUAGAUACGCAUUUUAGAGCUCGUGGAAAGAAGAGGCUGAUAAGCAAGACAGAAUUCUGCCAACGCAUCCAGGUAUCCGGAGCUGCACUGCCCUGGCUCUCCCUCCCCUUCCUCUCCCUGCGCUGCCGACAGCCCGAGCAGGGAUGGAUAGCUGUGCUGCCUGGUGCCGUGGAAGCACGCAGGCAUCUGCUACUGCAACGUUGACCAGGUUUCCUUUCCUCAGCUAGAGACUCUACUGCGAAUUUUAAUCCAGCUCUUUGGAAGCGCAAGCCUGGUGUGCAAGCACUCUGCCUGCUGCUGGCUUAACCCUGCCUGUUUGGAGCCCGACCCCUGAGGAGGAUGAGGCAGGGUCAGCACCGAGGCGCACUUCUGCUACUCGCCGUCCCAAAGGGAGCUGAGGCACUUCAGAAAUUAAAAGCUGCUUUGACCUGAGCGAUUCAGCACCCUAGUCAAGCGAGGAGCCAAAGAAGUUUGGCCUUUUAAGGGGUCGCGGUGGUCACCUACCUCAUGCACUCUGGGAAGCUGUUUGGUCGCUGAAUACCAAACUGGGGAACAGUCCCAGGCUCCCCAGCCGCGACCUGGAAGCGACUAAAACAGGGAGGUCCAUGGUGGAUGAUUUUAAGAGGCACCUCAGCAUGUCAGUAAGAUCUACAGUCGUUUGGUUGGAGGUUUCAUCAAGUCCCCUGUGUCGGCAGGAGGCCCCUCGGAGCCAGCGAGCUGUGUGCGGCUGCCCUCCUUCCUCACCUGCCUCUCCCCGUGGGGCAGGCAGAGGGGCACACACCGGGAAGAAGGGAAGCUCGAGGCCCCACGGCAAGCUUGAGCUGCUCUGCUUGGCGUCCCCACACCUACGUACCCCUCCUACAGCAACCAGCUGCCCUGAGAGGAGAAGGUGUGAUCUCAGCGCAUUGCACGGAUCCACGCAGAAGGCUGGGGGGCACGAGGAUAAAUAUCAAGGCACCUGGGAAAAGGCUUGCCUGGGCGAUGAAAUGAUUGUGAAGUGGUACAUUAAUUCAGGAGGAAGGAUUCAAAAAGCAGCCCGUCGUAACUUCAAACUUCACCAGCUUGCUGUACCAAGCAUCCCUUGAAAUGCUAAUUAAAACGAGCUGAGGGAGAGGAGCCUGCUAACAGGAUCACAGCCUCGCUUGGAUUGAGUAAUAAACAUGUAGUAGGCAUCCGUGUUUCCCUGUAUGCAUGCUUUCCAAGCUGAGCUGACUGUAAAUGUUGCGGUUAUGUGAAGCCCACACAGAGUAGGAUGCAAACACAAACUAGAAAGAGAGGCAAGGCCUAGUCACCAAGCUGGAAGAGAAAAAAACACGACAGUCUUCCACAAAUAAAUAAAUAACUGCCUGAAAUGAGGGCUAAUUAACUUGCAAUAAACCAACUUAACCACUUAGGGGCAGCGUUAACACAGAGUUAACAUGCAAAACAAACCUGUAUUUUCUCACCUGGUUAAUUUGAUAUGCAAGGUGAAUAUUCAUAGUGUAUGAAAUCCUGAUACAUCAACACACCAAAUGAUGCAGUCUGUCAAACCCGCGAAUGUGUGGCAAUAGGAGUAACUCAGUUGCUGCUCACACGGUGUUGACUUUGAUCAGUUGGUGUUUCUAAACACAUUCAUAGAGGCAGGACUUUGCUGCUUUUCCUCUGUCAGGGUCAUGGAGUAUGUUCUAUACAAAGAUUAAACCCUAAAAAAGGAGAUGAAAAAGGGCUUCACUUAAAAUAAACAGAAGAUGAAAUGGAAAAAAAAGCUGUCUUUGAGAAAUGCUGCUCUUGCAUGCAGGAGCUGAAAACCCCAUUUUAUCUCCACAGCCACAUUCAGAGUCACUUUGCUUUCAGAUAAUAUGUUCCUUUCUCUACCUCGCAUUCAAAAAAGUCCCCGUUCCUUGGAUUCCUGUGAAACAUUUCCUUGCAUAAAAAGGAGCUCAGACCCGCUUCAGGAUGGCCAGCACAGCCCGGGGAGAUUUGGUCCCACAGCUCCUAGGAACUGGAAGGAGAAUGGCAGGGCUGAGUCGUCAUGCAUUAUGCUGAAUAUUUACCCCUCAUGCAUGCUAUUUUAUUUUAAAUCUAGCGUGUAAUAUGCUUUGCAUCUAGCGUGUUGCUCUUGUGUGUUUUUCCCUUGCCCUGACUGUCUCUUGCUGGCAGCUGCCAUCGCAAAACAAAAGGCAGCUGCCAGUUUGAGUGAACAUCUCUCUCUCUCGCUCACUCUUUCCCCUCUUGCUCUUGGAGCUGAUGCAACACCACUUCACAGGCUGGGUAGCAGGCACUGAAGCAAGAGGGGUUUGCUGCCCUUGGGGUGCUUGGGCAUGCAGUGCCUCCGAGAUUCGCUGCCAGAGCUCAAAGCCGUGUUCAAGCUCUUGAACCUGGCUCAGCUGUAGCCAAGAGACUAUCAGCUGUCUCCCUGCCAGCAUACCAGCUCAAGCUUUCUCCGUUGCAGCAAUUGCCCAUUUCACAGGAUUUCAUGCUGCUGCUUUUGGCAAAGGUGAUGGUUUAUUAAAUAUCACUUUGGUCUUCUGCCCCAGGAUGUGUAGUCAAACGCAGGGAUCUCCUGCUCCACACAGGUGGUAUUCCUACAUCAGCUGAAAAAAAAAACCUGAAAAAAGCAGGACUGAACUGAAACGAUACUUGGAAGAAGAAACUUUCUUGUGUCAAAUAAAAGUACCAUGGGGAGAAAGUGGGAUGAGAUGCCAGGACCUAGACCCUCAGGCCAGCUGUGAGCCUCGGCUGCUGCUGUUCUUUGGCCAGUGGGAAUGCGCAAAGUGCGAGCUGCCUCACAUGUUGACGGAGCGCAUCUGAAACUCACUCAGGAUAGUUAUCCCUUGGCUCCUUUUAAGACUGGCUAACUCCAUGUUCUAGGAUACUCGAGGCCAUCAGGGGGGCCAGUUCAGCUGCUUUUUCCAGAGCUGGAAAAUAUGGAAGAGACGUUUCUGCUUUUCUUGGGGAGCCUUUAACCUGAGCUAUAAUGAGAACUUGCUUUGGGAAAACAAGUUGAACUCUUGACUGCUGCAAAUAGCCAUGGGCUGGGUAAAGCCUCUGAGAAGGGAGUGUUUCCUGUGGGGAGAGGGGCAGAAAUGAAGUUUGCUGGAGCUGCGGUCACUGGCACAUCCAUGUAUUUGCUUAUCUCUCUGGGCUGUGGUGACGGGGCUGGGGAAGAGGUGAGGCACACGGGGCAGAAACCAAGCAGGACCCCGAAAGAUAGCAUAACAGGAAAAAGCUAAGUAAAUGCAAGCCUCAGUUCCAAUCAGGAAAGUUAGGAAAUGAGAUCUGAAACACCCUCUUGGGAGUCUGGUGUGUGCUGAAGAAGAAUACUGAAAUAAAUUCUUAUGCAAGCUGUAUCACUGAUUGUCAGAGAAACUGAGCCCUCACUUCUUUCCUUUGUGGCAAUUUUCUUUCAGACAGCUCCUGUUUUGUUUUUCCAUAAUAGAAAUGGGUAUCCUCAUGUCAUUCACUGUAAACAUUUUUACUGAAAUUAUGUGAAUAUGGAUUUGUUCUGAGGGACAGGUUGGAAAGAUCCUGCCUUGCCCGGUUUGCCUGAUAAUAAAGUCCAAAAAGCAGA